AGAGCGAACGCUGGCGGCAGGCCUAACACAUGCAAGUCGAGCGCCCGUAGCAAUACGGGAGCGGCAGACGGGAUAGUAACACGUGGGAACGCGCCCUUCGGUUCGGAAUAACUCAGGGAAACUUGAGCUAAUACCGGAUACGCCCUUACGGGGAAAGAUUUAUUGCCGAAGGAACGGCCCGCGUCCGAUUAGCUAGUUGGUGAGGUAAUGGCUCACCAAGGCGACGAUCGGUAGCUGGUCUGAGAGGAUGACCAGCAUCACUGGGACUGAGACACGGCCCAGACUCCUACGGGAGGCAGCAGUGGGGAAUAUUGGACAAUGGGCGCAAGCCUGAUCCAGCCAUGCCGCGUGGAUGAUGAAGGCCUUAGGGUUGUAAAGUCCUUUUAACGGGAAGAUAAUGACGGUACCGUAGAAUAAGCCCGGCUAACUUCGCGCCAGCAGCCGC
rnacentral:rRNA from 1 species